rnacentral:ribozyme from 1 species
UGCCCAGCAACUCCUAUCCCUACCUCCUCGCGGUACUGGCCGGGGUACGAGUAACCUUAGGGAAGAUCGGGUAGCCGACCCCGGUGGGAACUCUGGUCGUAUGCUGACAGGGAAGG